CGAGGGUGCAAGCGUUAAUCGGAGUUACUGGGCGUAAAGGGCGUGUAGGCUGAUAUUUAAGUUGGUUGUGAAAUCCCCGGGCUUAACCUGGGAAUUGCAGUCGAUACUGGAUGUCUAGAGUAUGGUAGAGGAAAGUGGAAUUCUCGGCGUAGUGGUUAAAUACGUAGAUAUCGAGAAGAACAUCGGUGGCGAAGGCGGCUUUCUGGCCCAAUACUGACGCUGAGGCGCGAAAGCGUGGGGAGCAAACAGGAUUAGAUACCCGAGUAGUCC
rnacentral:rRNA from 1 species